rnacentral:rRNA from 1 species
UACGAAGGGAGCUAGCGUUGUUCGGAAUCACUGGGCGUAAAGCGCACGUAGGCGGAUGUGUCAGUCAGGGGUGAAAUCCCGGAGCUCAACUUCGGAACUGCCUUUGAUACAGCACGUCUUGAGUCCGGAAGAGGUGGGUGGAACUCCGAGUGUAGAGGUGAAAUUCGUAGAUAUUCGGAAGAACACCAGUGGCGAAGGCGGCUCACUGGCCCGGUACUGACGCUGAGGUGCGAAAGCGUGGGGAGCAAACAGGG